GUGAAAGUGGGCUACUCAUGACUGCAGCGACGUUACCAAAGGAGACGGCAAAAUGAUUGACGUUCACUCAAAGCUGAGCCAUCAGACUAGGAAGAAAGAAAGAAAAGUAUGCUUUUCUUGCCAUGUGACCUAAUUAACAACUCUCCAAUUAUCUCAUCCGGAAAAAAAUAGCAGAGGCUGAGAGAAGUGGCGAUGGCAUGGACCGCCAAAGUAGUUUUCUCUUCCCAUUCAGCAUAACAGGUGGCACUGGCUCCGGAUUGCUCAUAUAUCCUUGCAAUGUGGUUGGAACCCAUAGGCCAUGGUAGACAAAUCACAUCAUUGAUGCAGGAUUCUGUGUCUUUUUGUACUUUAUCUAUGUAUGAUAUGAUUUGUUGUUAUUAUAAGACUAAUUCCCUAUUUAAGAUCACACACAAAGACCAUUGCUACUUAGCAUCUUAAACAGAUUCAAGAUAACUAAUUCAUUGAAAUUCCUGCAUUAUCUACUUCUUGGAGUCCAGUGGGUGGUCUAAAUAAAUGAAUGACAGUCGUACUUAAAUAAAUGUGUAUACAAGCUGUGAAUCACUAAUUAG